UACGUAGGGCGCAAGCGUUGUCCGGAAUUAUUGGGCGUAAAGAGCUCGUAGGCGGUUUGUCACGUCGGGUGUGAAAGCCCGGGGCUUAACCCCGGGUCUGCAUUCGAUACGGGCAGACUAGAGUGUGGUAGGGGAGAUCGGAAUUCCUGGUGUAGCGGUGAAAUGCGUAGAUAUCCGGAGGAACACCGGUGGCGAAGGCGGCGACCUGGGUAGAUACUGACGCUGAGGCGCGAAAGCGUGGGGAGCAAACAGG
rnacentral:rRNA from 1 species